rnacentral:rRNA from 1 species
UAAACUGGAGGAAGGUGGGGAUGACGUCAAGUCAUCAUGGCCCUUACGACCAGGGCUACACACGUGCUACAAUGGCGCAUACAAAGAGAAGCGACCUCGCGAGAGCAAGCGGACCUCAUAAAGUGCGUCGUAGUCCGGAUUGGAGUCUGCAACUCGACUCCAUGAAGUCGGAAUCGCUAGUAAUCGUGGAUCAGAAUGCCACGGUGAAUACGUUCCCGGGCCUU